CAUUUUAUGCCAUUUUCAGAUCUUGAAUUUUAGUUGUAACUUCUUUGCAAAGUUCUUUUAAAGUCAAGUCAUCUUUGAUGGACAGGCAAAACCAAUUUGAUUUGUAUAAUAUAUGUAUGUUAGAUAUCUUGAACUAUCACUCCUUGAUUAUUUGACAUAUGAAAGUUUUUCAAUAUUUAGUUUAUUUGCAUGCUAUUUAGAGCUUUAUAAUG
rnacentral:lncRNA from 1 species